GGUGUAUGUUGACAAGAGU
rnacentral:siRNA from 1 species